UGCUUGCACUCCAGUGGCGAACGGGUAGAGUAAUACAUAGGUAGCCUGUCCUUAAGACGAGGAUAGCUUCUAGAAAUGGAAGAUAAAACUAGGAUAAGGACAUCACAAAUCACAUGAUUAGAUGUUUAAAAGAGCAAUCUACUUAAGGAGGGGCCUGUGGCGCAUUAGCCAGAUGGCGGGGUAAUGGCCCACCAUAGCGAUGAUGCGUAGCCGGUCUGAGAGGACGAACGGCCACAUUGGGACUGAGACACGGCCCAGACUCCUACGGGAGGCAGCAGUAGGGAAUUUUCGGCAAUGGGCGGAAGCCUGAACCCGAGCAAUGCCGCGUGAAUGAAGAAGUAUUUCGGUAUGUAAAGUUCUUUUAUUUGGGACGAAAAAACAAAUUGACGGUACCAAAUGAAUAAGCCCCGGCUAACUAUGUGCCAGCCGCAGC
rnacentral:rRNA from 1 species